rnacentral:rRNA from 1 species
CCUAGAAGAUAGGGCUUCUCCUUCGGGAGCAGAGUGACAGGUGGUGCAUGGUUGUCGUCAGCUCGUGUCGUGAGAUGUUGGGUUAAGUCCCGCAACGAGCGCAACCCUUGAUCUUAGUUGCCAUCAUUUAGUUGGGCACUCUAAGGUGACUGCCGGUGACAAACCGGAGGAAGGUGGGGAUGACGUCAAAUCAUCAUGCCCCUUAUGACCUGGGCUACACACGUGCUACAAUGGACGGUACAAAGAGCUGCAAGACCGCGAGGUGGAGCUAAUCUCAUAAAACCGUUCUCAGUUCGGAUUGUAGGCUGCAACUCGCCUACAUGAAGCUGGAAUCGCUAGUAAUCGCGGAUCAGCAUGCCGCGGUGAAUACGUUCCCGGGCCUUGUACACACCGCCCGUCACACCACGAGAGUUUGUAACACCCGAAGUCGGUGGGGUAACCUUUUGGAACCCACCCGCCUAAGGUGGAACAAAUAAUGGGGGUGAAUUCUUACCAAGGUACCCGAUUCGAAAGGUGCGGCUGAAUCCCCAAAAAA